AAAUGAAUAGACGGGGGCCCGCACAAGCAGUGGAGUAUGUGGUUUAAUUCGAAGCAACGCGAAGAACCUUACCAGGGCUUGACAUGUACAGGAAUACUUAAGAGAUUAAGUAGCUCUUCGGAGCUUGUACACAGGUGGUGCAUGGUUGUCGUCAGCUCGUGUCGUGAGAUGUUGGGUUAAGUCCCGCAACGAGCGCAACCCCUGUGAUUAGUUGCCAGCACGUAAAGGUGGGAACUCUAAUCAGACUGCCGGUGAUAAAUCGGAGGAAGGUGGGGACGAUGUCAAAUCAUCAUGCCCUAUAUGCCCUGGGCUACACACGUACUACAAUGGCCGAGACAAAGGGAAGCGAAGUAGAGAUAUGGAGCGAAACCCAAAAAUCGGUCUCAGUUCGGAUUGAAGGCUGAAAUUCGCCUACAUGAAGCUGGAAUUGCUAGUAAUGGCAGGUCAGCAUACUGCCGUGAAUACGUUCCCGGGCCUUGUACACACCGCCCGU
rnacentral:rRNA from 1 species